UAUAUGAUACAAUUAGAACUCGCUAAUUGCAUUUAUAUCAUAUGUCUACAAAAAAAGAUAGAUUUUGUUUAUUAGAAAGACAUUUUGUAACACAACUAAUGUCUGCGUAUUUUGUCAUGUUUGUUAUUUUAUACAAACUGGAUAAACUGACUUUUUCUCAUAUUUAUGUGAACAACUUGGAUUUUUUGUAUUCAAUUGAAAAAGCAGACUUGCAAUUGGCGAGGUUUGAAUGUGUUUCACUUCGUCACACGACAGCUCGCAUAUCUGUCAAGUCAGAAACGUAAACAAACACGGACAACCGCCCGUAAAGAUUGUGUGCAGAAUAAUCGUAAAAUUUUAUGUGAAAACUCGGGAAAAGGAAAAACAUCAUAUCAUCCCGAAAUUUAGCAACAUUCGUCCGAGUAUGAUCGAGCAGCUGUGUGUGUGUGUGUAUGCCGACGAUAUACGACGCCGUUUCUACAACAAUCACUAAAGCCGGCUGUGAUCGUGAUCGGCACAUUCUCAACCAACGUUGCCAUACACCACAAAAUAGCAUGGAAAGGAAAGUAUUAUAAAAUAAUGUCAUAUAUGAAAGCAUUCUAAUCUUUCCUUGUUAUUUUUCCACUGCAACAAGGACAUUGUAUCACCGCAUCGACAAGUGGUGUUUAUGUGCAAGUGUUGCGAAGAAGUGUGUUGUACGGUGUAUUAUGUGUUUUAUUUUAUUUGUAUCGC